CGUUAGCGGCGGACGGGUGAGUAACACGUGGGUGACCUACCUAUAAGACUGGGAUAACUCCGGGAAACCGGGGCUAAUACCGGAUAACACAUGAAACCGCAUGGUUUCAUGAUGAAAGACGGUUUUGCUGUCACUUAUAGAUGGACCCGCGGCGUAUUAGCUAGUUGGUAAGGUAACGGCUUACCAAGGCAACGAUACGUAGCCGACCUGAGAGGGUGAUCGGCCACACUGGAACUGAGACACGGUCCAGACUCCUACGGGAGGCAGCAGCC
rnacentral:rRNA from 1 species